CCGACGCCAUUGGAGGGAUUUGGACCAAUUUGUUGGGCGGGGCUAUUCCCUGCAUGACCCCUCCCACCUGAAGUGACGUCACCCCAGAAAAUGAUCAAGCCAACUCAGGGCACUUCCGGUCCCCGUCCUUUAUAGCCCGCCCUCUUUCCUCCGUCACUUCCGACCCGGCUGCCAUCUUGCCUGGGAAGGACCAGCUGCUGCAAUGUCCGUGUUCCCGGCGCUCCGCGCACUGCUCCGGCCCCGCCUCGCGCCGCCCGCUCGCGCCCUGCACUCGUACCCGCCGGAGAGUCGCGUGGGGCCGCUGGUGAGGGGGGUCUGGGGCCGCCCUUCCCAGGGGCUCGGGCCUGGCCCCGCUCUGCGGCCUGGAGAGCCCGGCCGAGCCCCAGCCCUGGGGGGAGAAGCGGAGGGUGCCGGGGGGCGCGGGCAGGGCCCAGCUGCUGUGUCCUUUCACCUGAGCUCUGCUGCCUUCUCCCCUCCGCAGGAGACUGUCCUCAGCCUGGGAGCCUUCUUCCUGGCCUUCCUGGGCCCGUCGGGCUGGAUCCUGACCCGCAUGGAGAGCUACAAGAAGCGCGACUGAGCGAGCGGGCUCUGAUCCGCGCUGGCUGCCCGCCCUCGGCCCCCGCAUUCCGCACCCGGCCCCCGGGGCUGCUAACUUGUUCCAUGGCCCCAUGUGGAGCAGCGGGGUUGCUGCCAUGCCAGUGGCAGUGAUUGGGUAUUGGCCACCAGUCACAGGUCUUGGAAGCUGCAGAGAGAAAUGACCCAGAGAGAUGCCACAUCCCACUACAGCUUCCCACUUUCCAGGAUCACGCCGCUGAAGGCCAUGGCUAGUACUGGCAGCUGGUGGGAAGAUCACAGCACCCUGGUCAGAGCUGGUGAGCCCAGGGACAGGCCAGCAUGUCUCAGGAAGCAAUUGAGGAGCCAGAAGGAGAAGCAGAGCAUUGCUGAGCGGCUGAGCCUUGGCUUCACCUUGGUGCCCAGGAAGUCUCCCCUGGGCUAUUACCUGGGCAGGCUUGUGCCCUCCAAGACCUGCUCCUUCCGCCAAAGCCUGCCUGUGGAGGCCAGCCUGGGUGUUGCCUGUCAGCCUGUGCUGUGCUCUCCCAACACCAUCGCCUCCCACAGAGCUUCUGCAGGGGCCUGGCUGGCUAGCGCUGCCCUGAAAACAGGCCGUGCCAUGGACCACACCCAGCUUAGGGGCAGCAGGAUCCUCCUGUCCCCAACCAAGCCAGCUCUCAGAGUGAGACCCAUCUCCUUGCCUAUAGCAGGGCCAUUUGAGCCAACCCGUCCUGCUGCCUGGGAGCCCAAACCCACCAGCAGGCACAAGCUUGCUGUGGUCAAACCAGCUGUCAAUGCCAGGAGGGCCCGGCUGGCACAAUGGCAAGCUGCCAAGGGCAAGGUGCUGAAGAGACCCCCAAGUGUAAUGAUUCCUGAUCUGCCCAAGAGAUGCUUGUCCAAGAAGCCCCCUGUCCUGUCCUCCUGGACCACCAUAACAGAUGAAGAGGAGACAAGAUCAGAGCUGGACCAAGCCAGUCUGGCAGUUCCGGAGCAGCCCAGCCAAGCUGGCAGGGGUGCCCACAGGGAGGAGGCAGUAGCUCCAUGGGACCCAGCGACUCAGGGGGCCCAGGACUCAAUGGAGUACUGGGUCCAUCUGCAACUGCCUGCAGGGGCUUCUGGGAACACCUGCCUGGCUGGCAAGAAGCCUCAGCAUCUAGCAGAUGAGCAGUAUGGAUCGGUGAGGGCUGUGGACAAUGGCAAGAGACUCCUGUAUGCAUCCACGCUGCAGAUCAGUGUGUGGAAAAGAGUACCCAAGCUGUCUCACUCUGACCCACACCCGUCUUCUCUGGCUGCAGAGUGAACCCAUUUUGUUACUGGCCUAUAUCCCUUGCUCAAUCUGUCCUGGUUGAUCUGAGAAGAGUUUGGGAAGGAGAUAAGAGAUCUCCAUUCUGUCUGCAUUUGGAAGCUCCCAGAACUGUCUCUUUAGCCUUCCAGUCAUGUACAGCCCCCUCAAAGCACUGCAUGGCAUGAAGUAUUUCCUGUACUAGCUGUCAAGGACCCUUGUAGAGAAUCCAAAGCUUUGGAACCCUAAAGAGAUGUUUCAUGUUGGGGGGUGGGGGGGAGAAUGAACUGGGGCAAGCCGUAACCCCCAAAAGGGCUGCAGAUCUAAAUGUCUUGUCUUUCAUGGCUGGAUCAGCACUCCUGCAUUGCUCCCUUCUACCUUUUUAUAUCGAUGGUCUGUCACCAAGCUGUUC
rnacentral:lncRNA from 1 species